UACGAAGGGGGCUAGCGUUGCUCGGAAGUACUGGGCGUAAAGCGCACGUAGGCGGCUUCUUAAGUCGGUGGUGAAAUCCUGGGAGCUCAACUCCGAGAACUGCCUUCGAUACUGGGAGCUCGAGUCCGGGAGAGGUGAGUGGAACUGCGAGUGUAGAGGUGAAAUUCGUAGAUAUCGCAAGAACACCAGUGGCGAAGGCGGCUCACUG
rnacentral:rRNA from 1 species